UUCCAGACUUUGAUUCUGGCUCAGGAUGAACGCUAGCUACAGGCUUAACACAUGCGAGUCGAGGGGCAGCGGGAUUGAAGCUUGCUUCAAUUGCCGGCGACCGGCGCACGGGUGAGUAACGCGUAUCCAACCUUCCGUACACUCAGGGAUAGCCUUUCGAAAGAAAGAUUAAUACCUGAUGGUAUGAUGAGAUUGCAUGAUAGCAUCAUUAAAGAUUUAUCGGUGUACGAUGGGGAUGCGUUCCAUUAGGUAGUAGGCGGGGUAACGGCCCACCUAGCCAACGAUGGAUAGGGGUUCUGAGAGGAAGGUCCCCCAUAUUGGAACUGAGACACGGUCCAAACUCCUACGGGAGGCAGCAGUGAGGAAUAUUGGUCAAUGGACGAGAGUCUGAACCAGCCAAGUAGCGUGAAGGAUGAAGGUCCUACGGAUUGUAAACUUCUUUUAUAAGGGAAUAAACCCUCCCACGUGUGGGAGCUUGUAUGUACCUUAUGAGUAAGCAUCGGCUAACUCCGUGCCAGCAGCCGCGGUAAUACGGAGGAUGCGAGCGUUAUCCGGAUUUAUUGGGUUUAAAGGGAGCGCAGACGGGUCGUUAAGUCAGCUGUGAAAGUUUGGGGCUCAACCUUAAAAUUGCAGUUGAUACUGGCGUCCUUGAGUGCGGUUGAGGUGUGCGGAAUUCGUGGUGUAGCGGUGAAAUGCUUAGAUAUCACGAAGAACUCCGAUUGCGAAGGCAGCACACUAAUCCGUAACUGACGUUCAUGCUCGAAAGUGUGGGUAUCAAACAGGAUUAGAUACCCUGGUAGUCCACACGGUAAACGAUGGAUACUCGCUGUUGGCGAUAUACUGUCAGCGGCUUAGCGAAAGCGUUAAGUAUCCCACCUGGGGAGUACGCCGGCAACGGUGCAACUCAAAGGAAUUGACGGA
rnacentral:rRNA from 2 species